rnacentral:rRNA from 1 species
AGCAUAUCAAUAAGCGGAGGAAAAGAAACCAACAGGGAUUGCCCCAGUAACGGCGAGUGAAGCGGCANGAGNUCAGAUUUGAAAUCCGGCAGGUUAUGCUUNCCNGAGUUGUAAUNUGGAGAGAGGACUUCGGUUUAGGCAUCGGUCAAGAUUCCUUGGAAUAGGAUGACAUAGAGGGUGAGAAUCCCGUACCUGGNUGACCGCNGACACCANGNGAAGNUUNUUNGACGAGUNGAGUUGUUUGGGAAUGCAGCUNUAAAUGGGUGGUAAAUUCCAUNUAAAGNUAAAUAUNUGCGAGAGACCGAUAGCGCACAAGUAGAGUGAUNGAAAGANGAAAAGCACUUUGAAAAGAGAGUUAAAAAGUACGNGAAAUUGUUGAAAGGGAAGCGCUUGCCAUCAGAAUUGGGGCCGGCCGAUCAGCGUUCCUUNUGGUUNGNGCACUCGGCCGGCAUCCGUGCCAGCACCAGUUGCGGUGGCAUGAUAAAGGCGGAGGGAAUGNGGCUCCCCUCGGGGAGUGUUAUAGCCCACCG